AAUCAAUAUUAGCCAAUCAAAGGAAUCGAUACAACAUUAAUCAUGGGACGCCUAGGUCUUACAAUGGGCAAUGUAAAUUAUAGUCAACAAAGGAAGCCACUCGUGUCUUUGUCAAAUUGUGGAUCAUGUGAGGGUGCUCUCCCAUGCAUAGAUGACAGAACAGGAACGACGGAAUCGAAGAAAUAGUUUGGCGGGGGUUAACCAAUCAUCUUUCUUCCGAAAAUGUCAAACGAUGCCCGGGUUCCCCAUGUAGAAGAAAAAACGGUAAUUCGUAAAGUGUAAAAAUCAAUUUUCGUUCAUAAAAAUCAAUAUUAAGGGCACAUAUUGUUAGAAAAAUCAUUAAAUAUUAUCUAUAAGAUUGCAUAGAUUGAAAUGCGAAGAUUUGAAAUUCGUAAAAUUUAUCAAAAUUUUAAGAUUAAAAUUUUUGCCCGUUUUCUAAAAAAUAUGGUACAUGGGGAACCCGUGCAUCGUUUGACAUUUUCUGAACGAAGAUGAUUGGUCAACCCCCGCCAAAUUAUUUUUCCGAUUCCGUCGUUCCUGUUCUGUCUUCUAUACAUGGGAUAGGACCCUGAGUUUAUCAACUUUUGUUUCCAUUCGAAUAACCUGAAAAUAAUACAGCUAACUAAACACUAUAGCGAGGUAUAUGAUGAAAUGGAAAAAAGAAACUUAUGAAACACUAUCCUUUUAUCAGGAUAAGAUGAAAGAUUAAAAAAAAAACACAUUGCAGAAAGAAGAUUUCUGAAACGGAUACUGGAGUCGCAUUACUUUAUCAGCUUACGUUCCGUUUGCGUCGCUUCUCUUUGAAAAAAUAAAAUUCAAAAGUUUCAAUGCAGAUGCAGUAUUUACUACGUAUUCAUUAUAUAAUUCUAAUGUAUACUGAGAUAUAAACAGACUAUCGGAUAACGAAGUCGGUAUGCUGUUAUUUGCAAUUCAAAUAAUGCAUUUAGCAAGAAUCAUAUUUUUUUUCAGAUAAAAUAUCUUAAUGAGCGCGAUUUCACUCGAUACGAUAGACUACGCAGUAUAUUUUACUAUUUGUUUUAAUAAUCGACGAUAAGCAGGGUCAUGAUUAAUAAUUUCUGUAUAGAAUAUUAAUCAGUGUACUGUGCUACGCGGUGGACUGUAGGAGUAUUUAAAGAAAUUUCGUUUAUAUCCCGGAUAACGCAAUGUGUCUGUGCAAAGCAGUUGACUUACUUUCCAGCACAGGGUUUUCUGAGAAUAUACUUUAAUGGAAAUAAAAAAAUUAUCAGAGCAAACAUGCAGCGAGUGCAGUUGCUUCUUUUAGAUUGCAAAAUGUGACAAUAAAUGAGAAUACCUAUUUUUAUGGUUUUGCCAACAAUUCAUACAAUGGUGAUUGGUUGCUGUGAUAUUUACACUAAUGUUGCUAUCUGGGAUUAAGGCAGAAAUCUCUUAAAUUACAUGAGUUUCCUCGAGAAAGUAAACUUUAUAAAACUUGAAUUAGCGCACUGUAUCUAUUGUAUCUCUUACAUUUUUCUUGAACUCAUUGAAACAAAAACAGGUUGAAAAAGAUAAUAUAAGGAUCCUAAGAUAUUAUCAACUUGACAACAAAAACAUCGUAGGCCAUUUUUUGAACCGUUGAAUGAAUUGCUUAUGAAAAAUUAUAUACAUAUUACAUAUAACACACAAAUGUUCAAUCAAGAGAGUCGGUUGCAUGUCGUUUCAAGUACGUGCAGAAACUUGGUUUUCAACUAGAACGAGCAAUGGGUGCGUUUUGGACAAAUGAAAAUAGAUAAUAUAUUAAAAUCAAGAGUGAGAUGUAUGCAAAAUCACUUUAUAAUUAUGUAAUACCACGUGGUGUAGUAUCUUAUGCGCAUGCACGCAUACAAUACGAAAGCAUUACAGUUGCGCAAGCUUUACAAUUUCCUUUUACUAGGGAGCAUAACACGGCAUUGAGUGACACCUGGCACAACACUGAAAAAGAGGAAUACGCCAAUAAUAACAUAGCUGCUUAAUGUAUACGUCUAGCAUGCGUAACUACGUUCGUCUCGCAAUCAGAAAAUUACAAAAAGAAUGUAAAAUGUGAAAUCGAAAGAUCUUUGAAAAAUGUACUUCAUCGUAUAAAACAAAAAUUCAUGAUUGCAAUAUUAAACUAAUACUGAAAUUUGUCUCCACCAGAUAAUAGAUACCACAACAGACUGCUUAACAUAUUGCUAGUUCCCUUUAGGAUCUGGCUAGCAAUAGUUGACUUAACGAAACGAGUUCAAUUCAAGUCAUUAGCGGACGCCCACAUCGCGUUCUUCUCCCUUAUUGCGAGACUCGAAACUACGAAGGAAACGCCCUCAGAAGAUCAUAAUAAUACUUCAGAAUGGGAAAAUAAGGAAAAAGGAUUUUUUUUAUUAGUGACAUGUAACGAGGCUAAAAUAGCUACAGUAUGUACGAUUAAUGAUGACGGAGACAAAUUUCAUUUAGCGUCGUCUCGCCAUCAAAAUUAGAGAUCAAUUAUUCAUUGAGAUAGCACAGCAUUAAUUACUUCGUAAAAAAGUAGUCGAUUUUAUACCGUAGUAGCGUUAUAAAUUUUGCAAAGCAGGAAACUGGUGGUGCGAUGCAUCUAAAUGUGCCAGAUAUUGAUCAAUUGUGCGUCAUACGCAUUUAUCUGCGUGUUUUUGUCGUGAGUUCAAUGUUACGAUUGAAAUAUAUUAAUAGCAUGUAAGAAUAAAAAAUAUAAUACGAGAAAGAAUGAAUUUGAUGUAUUAUAAUAAUACUUUUAAUAUCAAUAAGAAAAAAAAGGAAAUAAACAUGGAAAUCGUGUAAUGAUAAAUAAGAUAGGAAUAUCUUUGCAAUUAAGCGAUAAAAAUAUUAUAUGACGUUCGCAGAUAUUGAAAUUGCGAUUAAAUUGUAUCAUAGGAAAAAAUAUCACUUCGCACGUGCACUUCAUAUCUUUUUAUAAUGUACUGCGAUAAUGACGUGAUUAGUUUUGUGCUGUGUGGAUCCAAGAGAGACACUUAGUAAGAUAAGACCACUAAAUUCAUAGAGUGCUCAAAGAAUUUUUUUGAAUUUGUAACAUUUGUUUCCAUCGCGUUCUAUAAGAUGACUCAAGAGAAUAUUCCACUAGUGGAUUAUGUAUCUUACACAACAACAACAUUGAAAUGAAGAGAAUGUAAAGGAACACUCGCAAAUUUUCUUUUUGCUAUGCAACCGCAGUUGGCGUUACAAAGUGGAUGAAUAAACAACUAUGUGCUUAUUUGACUUUAAGAUGUGUGUCUGUCACAGCUGCAAAUCAGAGGAGAAAUAUAAUAUGGUUUAUGCUUCGACAAUACAUAGUGCUGAGCGUUCUAAUAUAACCAGCUGACCAAACCACGGCAUUAUUUCUAUAUAAAGAGGAUUAUUUCAUGUUAAAGGCCACAAGAAUGUCAUUCCCCAAUGUAAAGUGAAUCUCAUAGCAUGAGUAUAUAUAAAUUGAUGCUUUACGAAUUUUCGAUAGAUUUGACAGGCUCUGUGUAAUGAACUGAAGAUAGAAGUAACUUGCGAUAUUAUGUAAACAUGAAUGAUUUUGCGUUACGUCGGUAGGAAAUCGAGCAAAUAGUAGGAACGAAAGUAUCGUGGAAGUGGCGGGACGGUGGCAGCGGCAGCCGUGAUCAACAAGCAGGCGAUAUCAAGAUAAACAUGUCGGUUUUUUGUACGAUAUCGAUCUUAUGUAUUUCCUGGAAGCAUCGUCAUAAACAGAUGGAGCAGCUUCUAUCAGACGUAAUAUACGUGUUAUCGUAAAGCAACUGGAAAUAUACGAAUGAUAGCCCUGAGAUAAAUAAU